ACACCUCAACUCUCAUGGUUCGCCGUGAUGAGCUUGGACUUUGGGGGUCUUGCUGGCCUGUGGUUGGCUCCUCUCAAAUGAAUCAGCUUGCCAGUGUUUGGUAGAGUCGCAGGUGUGAUAACUAUCUACGCUUGUGGUUUUCUACCAGAUAACCUUCAGUGAUGGAGGUUCGCUGGAGCUCAUAAAUGUCUCUCCCCAGUGAGGACAGCUUUUUGAAC
rnacentral:misc_RNA from 1 species